rnacentral:lncRNA from 1 species
UAUGAGUAUUUCAUGAUAAAAAUGGCAACAUGUACAAAAAUGUGACACAUCAAACAAUGUCUAAGCAUUUUAUUUUUCUACACAUGCAAAAAAUUCCAAAAAAUAUCCAUUAAAUUCUACACAUUCUCAUGAGAAUAAUGCAAAAAAUCUCACAAAAAUUGGAUGAUUUUUGAGUGAGUUAUCAAUUUUCUAAGUUGUGGUAACAAAAUUGAAAAUGAAAUGAAAAAGAAAUUAA